rnacentral:rRNA from 1 species
UACGGGGGGAGCAAGCGUUGUUCGGAAUCACUGGGCGUAAAGGGAGUCUAGGCGGUUUGGUAAGUGGGAUGUGAAAUGCCCGGGCUCACCCCGGGACCUGCAUCCCAAACUGCUGAGCUUGAGUACAGGAGAGGGUGGGGGAAUUCCAGGUGUAGCGGUGAAAUGCGUAGAUAUCUGGAGGAACACCGGUGGCGAAGGCGCCCACCUGGCCUGCUACUGACGCCUGAAGCUCGAAAGCUAGGGGAGCAAACGGG